CUGGGAGUCGGGCGGACGUAGCCGUCGCCAAUCUGGUCAGGUCCGGAAGGAAGCAGCCACAACGAUUUUCGCCGCGGGUCGUCCGGCUCCUACCAU
rfam:Blastomonas sp. AAP25 AAP25_Contigs_1, whole genome shotgun sequence.